UACGUAGGGUGCAAGCGUUGUCCGGAAUUAUUGGGCGUAAAGAGCUCGUAGGCGGUCUGUCGCGUCUGCUGUGAAAACUCAGGGCUUAACCCUGAGCUUGCAGUGGGUACGGGCAGACUAGAGUGCGGUAGGGGAGACUGGAAUUCCUGGUGUAGCGGUGAAAUGCGCAGAUAUCAGGAGGAACACCGGUGGCGGAAGGCGGGUCUCUGGGCCGUAACUGACG
rnacentral:rRNA from 1 species